GGGGUGUGUGUGUGUGUGUGUGUGUGUGUGUGUGUCUCUCCAAGGGAAGGGGCGUAUGCAUGAAAGAGAGCACCAUUUUAAGACAAAAUCACUUCAGAGAAAACAGUCAACUUUAGAUCACCAUAAAGU